GACGAACGCUGGCGGCGUGCUUAACACAUGCAAGUCGAACGAUGAAGCCCAGCUUGCUGGGUGGAUUAGUGGCGAACGGGUGAGUAACACGUGAGCAAUCUGCCCCUGACUCUGGGAUAAGCGCUGGAAACGGCGUCUAAUACCGGAUACGAACCACCAUCGCAUGGUGAGCGGUUGGAAAGAUUUUUCGGUCUGGGAUGAGCUCGCGGCCUAUCAGCGUGUUGGUGAGGUAAUGGCUCGCCAAGGCGUCGACGGGUAGCCGGCCUGAGGGGGUGACCGGCCACACUGGGACUGAGACACGGCCCAGACUCCUACGGGAGGCAGCAGUGGGGAAUAUUGCACAAUGGGCGGAAGCCUGAUGCAGCUACGCCGCGUGAGGGAUGACGGCCUUCGGGUUGUAAACCUCUUUUAGCAGGGAAGAAGCGAAAGUGACGGUACCUGCAGAAAAAGCGCCGGCUAACUACGUGCCAGCAGCCGCAGUAA
rnacentral:rRNA from 1 species